CCUACGGGAGGCAGCAGUAGGGAAUUUUUCACAAUGGGCGAAAGCCUGAUGGAGCAACGCCGCGUGCAGGAUGAAGGCCUUCGGGUUGUAAACUGCUUUUAUCAGCGAGAAAUAUGAUGGUAACUUAUGAAUAAGGAUCGGCUAACUACGUGCCAGCAGCCGCGGUCAUACGUAGGAUCCGAGCAUUAUCCGGAGUGACUGGGUGUAAAGAGUUGCGUAGGUGGCAUAAUAAGUAGCUAGUGAAAUCUGGUGGGUCAACCAUUCAGACUAUUAGCUAAACUGUUAAGCUCGAGACCGUUAGGGGUAACUGGAAUUUCUAGUGUAGGAGUGAAAUCCGUAGAUAUUAGAAGGAACACCAAUAGCGUAGGCAGGUUACUGGGACGGUUCUGACACUAAGGCACGAAAGCGUAGGGAGCAAACGGGAUUAGAUACCCGAGUAGUC
rnacentral:rRNA from 1 species